rnacentral:rRNA from 1 species
UACAGAGGGGGCGAGCGUUGUUCGGAAUUACUGGGCGUAAAGGGCGCGUAGGCGGUUGGGUAAGCCCUCCGUGAAAUCUCCGGGCCUAACCCGGAAAGUGCGGAGGGGACUGCUCGGCUAGAGGAUGGGAGAGGAGCGCGGAAUUCCCGGUGUAGCGGUGAAAUGCGUAGAGAUCGGGAGGAAGGCCGGUGGCGAAGGCGGCGCUCUGGAACAUUUCUGACGCUGAGGCUCGAAAGCGUGGGGAGCAAACAGG